CCCAGUGGCUGCUAUGAGAACCUGGCCAUCCAAGGCAGCGACCAGAGCACGAACCCCUGGAAGUGAAGGGCAAGCCUAGGAGGCCAGGAAAAGAAGGCCCGGUGCCAUAGCCAUCUGACCCCAGGACUUGCCUCUAGGGUUUGCCUUCCCUCACCAUGGGGACCCUAGUCAGAUGUCCCUCCUUCCUAGGCCAAUGAAUGCCUGGUAAGCUGGAAACCUCUUGCUCAGCAGGAAUAAUUCAUGGGGUUCAGACUGGCAACACUCCAAUCUUUCAAGUAUUUUCUGCUGAUACUUACUUGGAGGAAGGCAAGAGGAGCAGCUGGAUUUAGAAGACCUUUGUUGUAGUUUGACUCAGCCACUUACUAGGCACGUAAGUCAUUCGAUUUCCAUGCACUCUGUUUCAUCAUCUGUGAAAUGGGGACGAUAAGGCGCUCCUCACCAGUUCUUAUAGGGACUUAGUUGAGACCACAGGAGUGCAAAAGUGCUUUGUGUAUGGAGAAGAAGCCAAGAUUUAAUAUGGAGGGUUUACUCUUGGUGCUUUCAUUAAGUGAUUCUCUGAUUAUAGGCACCAGAAGAAGGAAGGAAGGACA